UUCAUUUCUGUGACUAGCCAUAUGACUUAACUUGAUUUUUAUAUAAUAAUUAUUCUGUGUUUUCUUCACCAUCACAAAGUGCCUAGGUGGUUCUCUUUUUUUUUUUUUUUUUCCCCAGGAACCGUGACCCUCACUUUACUUCCUAGAGGAUCUGGACUGUACAUCAUCCUGCCUGAAUCAGGGUAUUGCAGCUUCCUACUGACCUUAAAUACCGAACGUGGUAACACCAAAAGACUUAGCAGAUGCUGCAAUAAUCUCCACAAAGAUGGCAAUAAGGACAUCCUCAGUGAGCUUGUAUAGAGGAGGUCCAUGGGAUCCUCUACGGGCUGUUUAAGAAUGCCAAAUGAUUUACAGGUGGCAACGGACCCACAUUAUCCUUAACGCGCUGCUCAAUUAGACACCUGCGUGGCUAUGGAAAGCAUUGUAUGGCAAACAAGUGCACCUGCCUGCGAGCUGCUCAAAGUCUUCUUCAGCUCCUCAUUU